AUGUUCAGAGUAGAUCCAGAUCAAUAUGUAUUAGAAUUGGAUCAGUCAAGGAAAAUUAUAAUCACGGACGAAGACGUAAACGAUGUAUUCGGGUUGCCACAAGGAAGUAGGAUCAUUCCUCCAGGACAUUCAGAUCUUUCUGAAGUUUGCUUGGAGUUCAGCAGACUGGCUUCAACCAUUAGCACAAAAGGCGUGCAUAGUUUGAAGGCCGCUGAAUUUAUUUUAUCAAAACAACUAGAUGAGAAUUCAAGCAAAGUUGGAUGUGAAUGCUUUAAGAUAGCAUUUGUAAUUUUAUCAUUUGGUCAUGUCCUAAACCCAUGUGCCAGACACGAUUAUACUAGCGUUGAUUACUGGGCAGCUCUUGUUGUUCCGUCAGAGAUCAAUUCCUACAACUGGUGUAGGUUAGUCAAGGACAGUUUGAUGAAAGGCGUCAGAAAGAUCAAAUCCGACAUCGCCAAUGGCAACAACACAAUUCACAUAGUUGGAUGUCACCUUCUCCUCCAGGUUUUCAUGAUGAACAAACCGAUCAACAUUAUUUUUCUGUAG
rnacentral:rRNA from 1 species